GUAAAGCACUUUCAGUAGGGAGGAAGGUAGUGUAGUUAACACCUGCAUUAUUUGACGUUACCUACAGAAGAAGCACCGGCUAACUCCGUGCCAGCAGCCGCGGUAAUACGGAGGGUGCGAGCGUUAAUCGGAAUUACUGGGCGUAAAGCGCAUGCAGGCGGCCUGUUAAGUCAGAUGUGAAAGACCCGGGGCGUUAACCUCGGAAUUGCAUUUGAAACUGGCAGGCUAGAGUCUUGUAGAGGGGGGUAGGGAAGUUUCUAGGUGUAGCGGUGAAAUAGCGUAGAGAUCUGAAGGAAUACCAGUGGCGAAGGCGGCCCCCUGGACAAAGACUGACGCUCAGAUGCGAAAGCGUGGGGAGCAAACAGGAUUAGAUACCCUGGUAG
rnacentral:rRNA from 1 species